CACUCUAGCGAGACUGCCGGUAAUAACCGGAGGAAGGUGGGGAGUGACGUCAAUCAUCAUGCCCCUUAUGACCUGGGCUACACACGUGCUACAAUGGUUGGUACAACGAGUUGCGAGUCGGUGACGGCGAGCUAAUCUCUUAAAAGCCAAUCUCAGUUCGGAUUGUAGGCUGCAACUCGCCUACAUGAAGUCGGAAUCGCUAGUAAUCGCGGAUCAGCACGCCGCGGUGAAUACGUUCCCGGGCCUU
rnacentral:rRNA from 1 species